GACGAACGCUGGCGGCGUGCUUAACACAUGCAAGUCGAACGGAAAGGCCUCUUUCGGGGGGUACUCGAGUGGCGAACGGGUGAGUAACACGUGAGUAACCUGCCCUUGACUUUGGGAUAACUUCAGGAAACUGGGGCUAAUACCGGAUAGGAGCUCCUGCUGCAUGGUGGGGGUUGGAAAGUUUCGGCGGUUGGGGAUGGACUCGCGGCUUAUCAGCUUGUUGGUGGUGUAGUGGCUUACCAAGGCUUUGACGGGUAGCCGGCCUGAGAGGGUGACCGGCCACAUUGGGACUGAGAUACGGCCCAGACUCCUACGGGAGGCAGCAGUGGGGAAUAUUGCACAAUGGGUGGAAGCCUGAUGCAGCAACGCCGUGUGCGGGAUGACGGCCUUCGGGUUGUAAACCGCUUUCGCUCAUGACGAAGCUUUGUGUGACGGUAGUGGGUAAAGAAGCACCGGCUAACUACGUG
rnacentral:rRNA from 1 species